UGUAGGAGUUUGUGGAGUUUUUUGAGCGAGUUCGAGGUCAUGAAGUGAUAUUCCGUAAACGGAGGAAGAGAUGCCUGAAGGCCAAAAAAGCCCUCCAAAUCCUGGAGACAACACCAGAGGUUUCCGCGGAGCAGGAGGCAGGACGGCCACGUAUAAUACCCUGGGCAGAGAGGCCACACAGAAUCGCCUGGGAAGAGAGGCCAUCCGAGGAUUCUUCCUCAGAGGAGAGACCAUCCGAGGAUUCUUCCUCAGUCAGGAGCAGCACUAAAUGGUUGGAUCCCGUAUUCCCUUUUGAG